rnacentral:rRNA from 1 species
CCUACGGGUGGCUGCAGUGGGGAAUAUUGCACAAUGGGCGCAAGCCUGAUGCAGCCAUGCCGCGUGUGUGAAGAAGGCCUUCGGGUUGUAAAGCACUUUCAGCGGGGAGGAAGGCGGUGAGGUUAAUAACCUCAUCGAUUGACGUUACCCGCAGAAGAAGCACCGGCUAACUCCGUGCCAGCAGCCGCGGUAAUACGGAGGGUGCAAGCGUUAAUCGGAAUUACUGGGCGUAAAGCGCACGCAGGCGGUCUGGCAAGUCGGAUGUGAAAUCCCCGGGCUCAACCUGGGAACUGCAUUCGAAACUGGCAGUCUAGAGUCUUGUAGAGGGGGGUAGAAUUCCAGGUGUAGCGGUGAAAUGCGUAGAGAUCUGGAGGAAUACCGGUGGCGAAGGCGGCCCCCUGGACAAAGACUGACGCUCAGGUGCGAAAGCGUGGGGAGCAAACAGGAUUAGAUACCCGGGUAGUC